AUUCUGUAAGGAUCAACUUCAAACGUGUAUAUCUCUUAACAUACAUGGAAUUUUUCAUCCCAAGACCUAUCAAAUUGUAGAUAAUUGAAUUAGCUUUCCAACGAUACCAAUUUCGCAAAAAUCCGAUACCGAAACAAAAAGUUACAGCCAUUCCCGUGAACAGUGACCAGUACCAGAAGGCUACAGGCGCAGCCCAGGCUAGAGAGGGGGUCUAAGCAGGGUGCCUCCCUGGGUAUAGCCUUGGUCCAAUUUUUCAAUCUUCUUCCGUAUUUAACACGAAAUUUAAGCUCCAAUUGGCCAGUAUCAUAUUCCUCUUCCAGUUCUCUCUCAAAAACACGCAGAAGCUCCGAAACAAAAUUCCAGAUCCACAAAAAUUCAUCCGUUCAAUUCCAAAAAUAAUUCAAGAAUCAUAAUCCCCAAGAUGAGAUCUUCAAGGAGCACCUAUGAUUUUUACGAGUAGAGUUUCGGAAUCGCAAGUUCAUCAAAUUCAUAAAUUUGAGGUUAUACUCCCUGGCAAGAGUAUGACGCUCCUUCCCAGCGUGGGGUUUCUUCCUUAGGAGGACAAAACGUUGGACUCCAUAUAGCUCACAUGGUUUAUGUCGGUUAUAAGAAACUCCCACUGUGUGCGUGUGUCUCUAUUCUAUUUAUAUGAUGAAAAUAUGUGUUAUGAAAGAUUUGUUUGAGAAAGUUGUUAUUACGAAAGAUUGAGAUGUUAUUUACCAAAAAAGGAAAUUUUUCUGAAGUUUGAUUAUUACAGAUGUUGAAAUCAAGAAAGAAGUGAAUUGAGAAAUUAUUGAAAUG